GUAGGUGGCAAGCGUUGUCCGGAAUUAUUGGGCGUAAAGCGCGCGCAGGCGGUCCUUUAAGUCUGAUGUGAAAGCCCACGGGCUCAACCGUGGAGGGUCAUUGGAAACUGGGGGACUUGAGUACAGAAGAGGAAAGCGGAAUUCCAAGUGUAGCGGUGAAAUGCGUAGAGAUUUGGAGGAACACCAGUGGCGAAGGCGGCUUUCUGGUCUGUAACUGACGCUGAGGCGCGAAAGCGUGGGGAGCAAACAGGAUUAGAUACCCUGGUAGCCCACGCCGUAAACGAUGAGUGCUAAGUGUUAGGGGGUUUCCGCCCCUUAGUGCUGCAGCUAACGCAUUAAGCACUCCGCCUGGGGAGUACGGCCGCAAAGGCUGA
rnacentral:rRNA from 1 species